CUCAAAUAGUUCCGUCCUUAGGUUUAUAUUACAUAUAUGACAUGUCAAAGAAAAAAAUAUGUGCAAUAUACAAUGCUAUGAAAUUAACUUACAUGCGGCAUUCCACAGUGGUGCCAUCACUACAAAAAAGGCAGCUGAAAACAAUAUCAAGUUUGUCCAUCCUCUUCUUUAGAGGUGGCUUUGAUUUUUCCUUCCUCUUUUCCAUAGCUCAGGUUACUGUUAAGUGCAUUUAAAAAUACAGGUCAAAUGCAAGAACGUUAAGCCAAUAUUUGAGAUUGAUCAAAAGAAGCAUAGUGCAAGGAAGCAACUACUAUUUAUGUAGCUGGACGACAAUGUUAAUACUAUUUACAAAAAUGUGGUAUUGAUACCCUGUUAUAAUUUAAUGACGAUUUUACACAUGUUUAUUAGUAUUAAUAUUAGUAUUUAUAUUAGUAUAAUCAUGUAGCUAGCACAUCUCAUGGGGUACUUCAUGAGAACAAGUCAUGGGGCAGUAAUAAAGAAACAACAAUACCUAAGACAGAGG
rnacentral:lncRNA from 1 species